UACGUAGGUGGCAAGCGUUGUCCGGAAUUAUUGGGCGUAAAGCGCGCGCAGGCGGUCCUUUAAGUCUGAUGUGAAAGCCCUCGGCUCAACCGAGGAGGGUCAUUGGAAACUGGAGGACUUGAGUGCAGAAGAGGAAAAGUGGAAUUCCAAGUGUAGCGGUGAAAUGCGUAGAGAUUGGAGGAACACCAGUGGCGAAGGCGACUUUCUGGUCGUGGUAACUGACGCUGAGGCACGAAAGCGUGGGGGAGCAAACAGG
rnacentral:rRNA from 1 species